CUUGGUCAUUUAGAGGAAGUAAAAGUCGUAACAAGGUUUCCGUAGGUGAACCUGCGGAAGGAUCAUUACCGAGGUCGCGUCUCUGACGCGGUACUCUCACACCAUGUUGUUUUACCUGUUGCUUCGGCGGGACGUUGAUUCAUCACCGUCGACGAAAGUGGGCGUGUGCCUGCCGAAGGUUUACACUCGAAUUUUUGAAGUCUGAGAAAACGAUAAUAGAAAAAACUUUCAACAACGGAUCUCUUGGUUCUGGCAUCGAUGAAGAACGCAGCGAAAUGCGAUAAGUAAUGUGAAUUGCAGAAUUUAGUGAAUCAUCGAAUCUUUGAACGCACAUUGCGCCCCUUGGUAUUCCUCGGGGCACGCCUGUUCGAGCGCCGUUUCAAACUUAAGGCUCUGCCUUGCGUUGGCGCCAUCCGUCCGCGGAUGCGUUGAAACUCCUCGGGCGCCUUUCUGAUCUCGGCAGCGUAGCAAGUCUUCCGCUGUUGGGUGCCAGCAAAGGUCGCCGGUAGUUACGAGUUUGGCCUCGAAUCAGGCGGGGAUACCGCUGAACUUAAGCAUAUCAAUAAGCGGAGGAAAAGAAACCAACAGGGAUUGCCUUAGUAACGGCGAGUGAAGCGGCAACAGCUCAGAUUUGAAAUCCGGCUUCGGCCCGAGUUGUAAUCUGCAGAGGAAUAUUCGGCGGAGGUGCCGGUGCAAGUCUCCUGGAACGGAGCGUCAGAGAGGGUGAGAAUCCCGUACCUGCCGGCAACCGAUGCCAUGUGAAUAUCCUUCGACGAGUCGAGUUGUUUGGGAAUGCAGCUCAAAACGGGUGGUAAAUUCCAUCUAAAGCUAAAUAUUGGCCAGAGACCGAUAGCGCACAAGUAGAGUGAUCGAAAGAUGAAAAGCACUUUGGAAAGAGGGUUAAAAAGUACGUGAAAUUGUUGAAAGGGAAGCGCUAUCGAUCAGCUUCGGCCGCGGUUGCUCAGCCGGUCUUCUGACCGGUGCACUCUUCCGCGGUCCUGCCAGCAUCGGUUUGAGCGGACGGACAAAGACCUGGAGAACGUGGCCUUCCUCGGGAGGUGUUAUAGCUUCGGGUAGAAUACGUCCAGUUCGGACCGAGGAUCGCGCAUCUGCUCGGAUGCUGGCUUAAUGGUCGUUAGCGGCCCGUCUUGAAACACGGACC
rnacentral:rRNA from 1 species